AUGAACGCUGGCGGCGUGCCUAAUACAUGCAAGUCGAACGAAGAACUAGCUUGCUAGUUCUUAGUGGCGAACGGGUGAGUAAUACAUAAAUAAUCUGCCCAUAUGACUGGGAUAACUAUUGGAAACGAUAGCUAAUACCGGAUAGGUUAAUUGAAGGCAUCUUCGAUUAAUUAAAGUAGGUUUUCUACACAAAUGGAUGAGUUUAUGGCGCAUUAGUUAGUUGGUGGGGUAACGGCCUACCAAGACGAUGAUGCGUAGCCGACCUGAGAGGGUGACCGGCCACACUGGGACUGAGACACGGCCCAGACUCCUA
rnacentral:rRNA from 1 species